CUCAUCUGGAUCAUGUGAGGAGCUUUAAAGCUGCUACCUGCCGUUUGAUUGGUGCAAUCACGAGUCAUAGAACUUGUCUAGGAAUAUUUGCAGUUUUAUAAAUUCUGCUUUUUCUCCACACAGCCUGCAGUUCACCUGAAAACGUUCUAGAAUUUUUGGCAACCACUGGUCACUCAUGGAUUUUUUUUAUUUUAUUGACUAUUGGAAAGUUGAAACGCCAAUGAUUUUAAUUUUAUUUUCAAAUUUUUACAGUUUCUUGUUUCUAAAUUGCAUCAAUUUAGUUUUUAAGAAAAAAAAAAGGAAAAAAGAAAACAUGAAACCUGACAGCAGGCUUUGGGGCUCUGAGGAAUAAAAAACUCCUGUAGUUCAAACCCUGAGCUCAAAGAGAAACAGGAGGACUGUGUGUGUGUGUGUGUGUGUGUGUGUGUGUGUGUGUGUGUGUGUGUGUGUGUGUGUGUGUGUGUGUGUGUGUGUGUGUGUGUGUGUGUGUGUGUGUGUGUUCUCUCAGGUGUGGCAGGUGAGGACAGACUGAACCCUCCUCCUAAAGCUUUAAGCUGUAGAUCACAUCCAGACACACCUGCCAAAGCCACGUCUCUGAUUGGACGGUUUGAACAAACGCAGCCUCUGAUUGGUCGUUUCCUGAGUUUGAACCAUUCAAACAGAGGCCUGAGGGUAAGAACUUAAAUAAAAACACAACAAACAGGACUUUUAGGAAAAUACUUCCACAACUUAUAUGGCUUUUACUUUGCUGUGAGAAUGAUUUCAGCGAGGGGACAUUCAUCUUUUUUUUUUUUUUUUUUUUUUUUUUUUUGGUUUUGUACAGGAAUUGAAUUAAGGCGAGACAGUUUCUGUAAACAUAAAACAAAACAUCUGUGAAAACAAUAAUCAUAACGAGAAAUAAAACCCCUUAUAUAAUCCAAACAAACAAACAAAAUGUCACAAAUUGUUUACAGCAUAGAACGGUACUAUUUACAGGCUGCUCGCGUUGUUCUCGAACACAUCAUACCUACAUGUUGGUUUUAAUACAUUCUGUGCUGUGUGUUAUCCCAAACCGGAGACUUUAACAUGUUUGAAAGACUUUUUUGGGGGCGUUUUGUGGAAGAAAACGCACAAAACAGCAAAAAAAAAAGUCACUGAGCUUUUGAAUGUGUGACUUGCAGACCAGCUAUGAUCUUCAGCUCCAGUUACUCAGGUGUUCUUUCCUUUUUUAAAAAUAAAAUAAAUACUUUUCCCACUGGAGAUCAGUACAUGAUGAAGUCUGAGAUCACACAGGAAUCACACGAAGCACAGGAAGGAAUCAUGUGAGAUCGGACGAUGAAAUACUCGAGAAACAAAAAGCGUGAUCCGGCUGAAAAAGCUCAACUUCAAAUAAGACAAAAAGCCGUUUGCUUGCUUUUUUUUCCCAGAUGAAAGUUAGGUGCUCUGAUGAACUGAAGAAGCUUUAAUUUAAUCCAAUCCAAUUGUGGCUAAAAUUAAAAAAACAAAAACAAAAAACAAAAACUAAAACAUCCGAGCAGCUCCGCCCCGAAGCAAGCUUUCCCUCCAAAACUCAAAGAAUGUCACCACCUUCCCGCCCUUUUUCUCCUUCUUUGCUUUUCCACCUUCACCUCUCCAGCUCGUUCCUGCGUGCUGCAUCUUGCCGCCUUCAACUUUUCCCUCCUCUGUCAGCUCUCACACAUCUCUACUGAGGAUUUAAACAAACAGCGCCAAGCAUGAUGGGAAAUAAAGGCGGGGAGGAUAAAGACGAAGCGAAAACAGCUGGAAGGAAGCCAGCAAAGAUUAUAGAAGGACACCAGGGCUGAGAAACUGAGUGUUACUUGGUGUAGUGGUGUUUAAGUCAUGGACUGCAGCUUUUAUGUAUUAAAGGUUAGAAAGUGAACAUCCGAUGAAACAUUCGUGUUUACAUCCUCAUUGUGUCUGUAUUUUGUUGAUGGAUGACUUUCACUGGAUUAAUCUCCUGUAUCGCUGCAUGACCAGCCGACUCAAUCAAUCAACACCUCGAACACGCUCUUAUUUACUGGCUCUCCUCCGGAUUAUGUGAACUGGAAAUAUCCAACCUCCUUGCUGGGUUUCAAAGCAAACACUUGCAAUUAUACGAUUAGAGAUGAUUCCAGAGCUGAACCUUUCAAUGGAAAAUAAAGCGGUGAGAGCUUUCUGGUGGAGGAACCUUUGAAAACCCAGCGAGCUGAGUUUUCAAAGGUUCCUCCACCAGAAUCAUUGGUUCUGGAUCAUCUACUAGAACCAAUGGGUUCUUCGGUGUGUUUUCAAAGGUUCAUCCACAUAGCAAAAGCUGAUUUCUGGCUUUAUUUUUCUAUUGCGGGUUGUAAACUCAUUCAGAAACAGCAAAAAAACCCCACUUUAAAACACCAAAAACAACAUUAAUUAACACACUGGCUUCAUGUUUAGGUCUGCUGUUUUAAACGAGAUCUUCAGGAGUCUUAGUCUUUUUGAAUUUACUUGUAAUUUACCAACUCAUUCCUCUAAAGAGCUUCUGAUUUACACCUGGUCACCACUAGAUGAAAAUCAACCCAAUAAUCUGACUCCUAAAAUAACAAAAACACAACAUUUAUUCACUCCAACCAGCAAAAACCUGCAUGUUUAACACAACAGUCCUCCAAUAAAUCCUCCUGUAUGAAGGUUUCAGCUGUUUUAUAGAGAAUUUAGUUACACUGACUGGUGUUUCUGGUAUUUAAGCUUGCCUCAUUGAUAUGAAGUUGAUGGAUGAAAUAACAGAAACACCCGUCAGUGUGUUCAACAGAACCACAAACGAUCGAUGCAAUCAGUGUAUAAUUAAUCCUCUAAAAACCAGCUGAUGGCUCUGACUGGAACUUUCAUGACGGACCAUUUAUUGCCAGAUGGUUGCGUUAGAACACGUUAGCUUUAGCAGGGUGGAGCUAAUAAAGUGGAUAUUCAUACAUCUAAACAUGAACUCGGGUCCCUUCUGUAUACAUCGCUCUAAAUUUAACAAGCUCAGACAUCUCUGCACCUAAAUCAGUUCCUCUCUAGUCAGAAACUCGCUCAAGAGUUUUGGUUUUGCUGAUCCUGCUUCAUUAAACUUCAGGUAACUGAGCCUCCAUUAGCAUUUAUCUGAUGGAUCAAAUGAACCAAACUCUGAGCUAAACCAAAAACAAACACUCUGGAAUACGUUUCAUAUCAUAAUAUGUUCAUAUAGGUUUGGCUUUUUUUGUGUCCAUGAGAUAAGAGAUACACUCAGUCUAUCUUAUAUUUGCACGAAUGUUUGCAUGAGUUUUUAAUAUAUUCAACAAGAUCCUAAUUAUUUUUUUUUUAAAUUUUGUCAUUUUAUACCAGUUUUAACACCUUUUACUUUCAUUCUUUUGGGUAUUAAGUUCAAAGAAAU
ensembl:lncRNA